GUUCUGCUGCUGCCGAUGGUACGUACGUUCUUUCUCCGCUGCGUGAAAUUGUCCUGCCUUUUUUGACGUUUCGAUCUGUGUCUUUGAUUCAUUGGUUUUCACACAAAGGAUCGUUCUCUUUGUCUAUCAAGGUCGAGUUCUUGAGCGUAGAUUGAUCAGGAAACGGAUUGGCGCCUUGGUAUAUCGAUUAGAAUGCAACGUGUGUCAAGUGGAAGCUGCUUUCUAUUGUUCUUCGUUAUCGCUGGUUAUCAAAUACUUCGCAUAUUAUUCUGUAUACCGUAUUUCCUUUAUUGAUAAAAUGGUGUUUGUGGUGUGUGAUUUAAUCAGUGAUUUCGCGAUUUAUCCGUGAAUUUGUUCCGAUUGCUCUACUUUGUGCAAUAUGUACAUUACGUUAAUAAUAAUACUAACAGGAAAGGGUCGAAGAUGA